AAACGGAGGCUGAAAACUGGAGAUUAUGUUUUGGUUGCAUCGGCAAAGAAAGCAAAGUCUGAGGACCGUAAAGCGACUUCCUGUUUUCUCGGCUAACUUCCUGUUUACGUCGUGCUAGCCGCCGCUAGCUUGCCUCCAGCGGACUGCACGGUCCCGGCGCAGCAUCCUGCCUUCACACCGGACCCGGAGUCGCUGAGUGAGGGACCACAUCCGCGGUUUCUCUGCUACAUUUCCAUCUUUUCCCACUUUAUUCACAGCGUGGAGACAUCUUGGGACUCUCGUUCUGGGACUUUACAUCUUUACAUCCCUCGCAUAACAAGUGGAUUUAACCGUUAGGGGAGCACAGCGGAGGUUUUGGAGGUUUUGUGGAGGUUUUUGGAGGAUGAACCCCCAGUGUGCCCGCUGUGGGAAGGUGGUCUACCCGACGGAGAAAGUCAGCUGCCUGGACAAGGUGAGCACUUUGUUCGUGGUCCAAAAAAA